GCCUCUGUAGCUCAGUUGGUUAGAGCGCUGUGCACACCGGAAUCACAGGGCCGUAGGUUCAAUUCCUACCAGAGGAC